UGUUUCUAGUGGCGGACGGGUGAGUAACGCGUGGGUAACCUGCCUUAUACAGGGGGAUAACAACCAGAAAUGGUUGCUAAUACCGCAUAAGCGCACAGGACCGCAUGGUCCGGUGUGAAAAACUCCGGUGGUAUAAGAUGGACCCGCGUUGGAUUAGCUAGUUGGCAGGGUAACGGCCUACCAAGGCGACGAUCCAUAGCCGGCCUGAGAGGGUGAACGGCCACAUUGGGACUGAGACACGGCCCAGACUCCUACGGGAGGCAGCAUG
rnacentral:rRNA from 1 species